AUUCUACUCCCUCCGUUGCACAAUACAUGCCUUCUAUUUGUCAAAAUAUAUAUGUAUCUAGACAUGUUUUAGUAUAUAGGUACAUCCAUUUUUGGAUAAAUGGAAGUCAAGUAUUUUGAAACAUAGGGAGUACACA
rnacentral:pre_miRNA from 1 species